rnacentral:rRNA from 1 species
GGCGUGCUUACACAUGCAGUCGAACGAUGACCCGGUGCUUGCACUGGUGAUUAGUGGCGAACGGGUGAGUAACACGUGAGUAACCUGCCCUUGACUCUGGGAUAAGCCUGGGAAACUGGGUCUAAUACCGGAUAUGACCUUCCAUCGCAUGGUGGUUGGUGGAAAGCUUUUGUGGUUUUGGAUGGACUCGCGGCCUAUCAGCUUGUUGGUGAGGUAAUGGCUUACCAAGGCGACGACGGGUAGCCGGCCUGAGAGGGUGACCGGCCACACUGGGACUGAGACACGGCCCAGACUCCUACGGGAGGCAGCAGUGGGGAAUAUUGCACAAUGGGCGGAAGCCUGAUGCAGCGACGCCGCGUGAGGGAUGACGGCCUUCGGGUUGUAAACCUCUUUCAGUAGGGAAGAAGCGAAAGUGACGGUACCUGCAGAAGAAGCGCCGGCUAACUACGUGCCAGCAGCCGCGGUAAUACGUAGGGCGCAAGCGUUAUCCGGAAUUAUUGGGCGUAAAGAGCUCGUAGGCGGUUUGUCGCGUCUGCCGUGAAAGUCCGGGGCUCAACUCCGGAUCUGCGGUGGGUACGGGCAGACUAGAGUGAUGUAGGGGAGACUGGAAUUCCUGGUGUAGCGGUGAAAUGCGCAGAUAUCAGGAGGAACACCGAUGGCGAAGGCAGGUCUCUGGGCAUUAACUGACGCUGAGGAGCGAAAGCAUGGGGAGCGAACAGGAUUAGAUACCCUGGUAGUCCAUGCCGUAAACGUUGGGCACUAGGUGUGGGGGACAUUCCACGUUUUCCGCGCCGUAGCUAACGCAUUAAGUGCCCCGCCUGGGGAGUACGGCCGCAAGGCUAAAACUCAAAGGAAUUGACGGGGGCCCGCACAAGCGGCGGAGCAUGCGGAUUAAUUCGAUGCAACGCGAAGAACCUUACCAAGGCUUGACAUGGACCGGACCGCCGCAGAAAUGUGGUUUCCCCUUUGGGGCUGGUUUACAGGUGGUGCAUGGUUGUCGUCAGCUCGUGUCGUGAGAUGUUGGGUUAAGUCCCGCAACGAGCGCAACCCUCGUUCUAUGUUGCCAGCACGUGAUGGUGGGGACUCAUAGGAGACUGCCGGGGUCAACUCGGAGGAAGGUGGGGACGACGUCAAAUCAUCAUGCCCCUUAUGUCUUGGGCUUCACGCAUGCUACAAUGGCCGGUACAAAGGGUUGCGAUACUGUGAGGUGGAGCUAAUCCCAAAAAGCCGGUCUCAGUUCGGAUUGGGGUCUGCAACUCGACCCCAUGAAGUCGGAGUCGCUAGUAAUCGCAGAUCAGCAACGCUGCGGUGAAUACGUUCCCGGGUCUUUAACACACCG